ACAAAAUGAAAAUUAUAAUAUACAUCAUUUUUCUGAUUUCGGCUGUGAAAUGCUUUUCAUUGGAUGAUAAUCCACCACCAGAAGAGGUAGUUUUCGGAGGUAACUGAACGAGAGAGUGUACCUGUAUAAAGUAUAUUUUUUGCACACUUUAAUAGUCAAUUUUUUUUGUAAUAUAUACUGAAUUUUAUACAUUUUUAUGUAAUAUUUACCUGUCAAGACAUUAUUUAAUUUUCGUCUGUACCAAUACGAUAUAAAUAAUAGAAUAACUUCAAGUUCUCAUAGCAAUAGUACAAGACUGCAUUUUGAAACAUUUUACUAAUAUUUACUUAUUAUAUGAUUCAGGUAAACGCACAGAGUGGCCAGACGGUAUGGCAUAUGAGGGUAGAUAAUUAAAAAUAUUUACAAAAUUCUAUGCCAUGGAUUUACAAAUAUAAAUUAAUAUUUAUUUUUUAAUAGAGAUCACAACAUUCAACGAUACAACAUACAAAGAGAAUGAUUUAUUUCUGAAAAAUGUUGUAUUCGGCGGUAAUGUAUUAUAACAAAUUCUCAGGUGGUUUUUCAAGAAAGUACUAUAGUUAAAUACUUUCUUUUAUAUUAUGGUAAAGAUUUAAAAGUUGGAAUUUAUGGAGAGAAUUUUAUCCAAAUAUCAGAGGUACCAUAUUUGGAAUUUUGUUAAUACGCCCAAGUUCUCGAUGAUGGAAGUCAAGUAUGUGGUGGAUCCAUUAUCUCUGAAAUAUGGAUAUUAACCGCUGCCCACUGCUUUGAAAAGCAUGGUAAAUAUCGAUAAUAACAGGAUCAACAGCAAGAGGAAAGGAAGGGCAGCGUCACGAAGUCGAGAAAAUCAUAGUGCAUAAAGAAUACAAUGAGACUAUGGACAAUUACAUUGCUUUACUUCAACUUAGAAAACCUAUACAGUUGAAUUAAAUGCAGAAAAAAAUUGAAAUUUCGACGAAACCUCCUAAUGCUAACGAAAAAUUAAAAGUUACUGGAUUCGGAAAAGAAGGAGAUAAGUUGCCAAGUCCUAAAACUCUAAAAGCAGCUAUCAUGAUUGUUGAAUAAAUAUUUUGAUACAUCUAUAGACAUAUAAAUGUAAAAUAACAUUUUUCUUGUAAAAAUUAGAUCACUAAAUAAGUUACGUGUAUAAAUGAUUCUAACGAGAUAAAUAAAUAAAAUUAUUCAAAAUA